CUAAUUUCUUAAUGUAAGAGCUGAAGUCGUUCACUCAGGGCCUUCUCUCUUCUCUGAUGCAGGCGUUUGAUCCCUGUAGCCUUACAGGCUAUCAGCUCCCUAAGUACUGCUUUUGCAACAAACUCCAAUUUGUUGUGUUUUCUUUUUGUUCAAAAUAUUUUCCGUCUCUCCCCAUCUCCUGUGCGGCCCGUGGGUUAUUUGGAAGUGUGGUAUUUAGCCUCUAAGUAUUGGAGGCUUCUGCGAUCUUUCUGUUGCUGAUUUCUGAUUGAGGUUCCUUUCGGUCAGGGAAUAUUUUUAUGUGGCUUAAAUUCUUCCAAAGUGAGCGAGACUCAUUUUGUAGUUCUGGGUUUAGUCUGCGUGGUGCCUCUUGUGGGCGAGCGGUGUGGACGGUGCUGUUGAAGGCACAUCCUUACUUCUAUGUCCACUUCAUCCUAAUCCUGCCCCUCUUCUCCUGCCCACCUCUUCUCAUUCCAGGGGCGUCCUUGGCCCGUGAAGGGUACUGGGGUCACCGCAGUGGCCUCCGACCAGCUGUGACUCGACCCCUGGGCCCACAGGUGUAGCCGCCUUCUCUGAGACAUUCGGCCCCAUGGCUGGUGAAGGACUGAGCAAACCUUGGGUUCUGUUACGAGGAAGUAGGGGGGCCGUGGCUGGUGGGGUCUGUUACCCUCUGUCUGACUGUCUCCCAACGUGGCCAGACAUCUGACCGUGUCAGAGUUUUGAUCACCCCCCUCCAGGGGCUACACGGCAACUUCCGAGUGUCAGGUCACCAGAAGGACACUGGGGGCUCCGGCGACCUGACCUUCGUGCGCCUCUCCCCACCUUGCACCGCCAGCUCCCCGGCAGUUGCCGGGGAUCCCGGGCUGUGUCUGGGGUCCCUCUGGGAGCUGUGCACCCCACUCCCACAGCUCUGUGGUGCUCACACUUGUGAGCACUGGGCCUUUCGUCCCAGGGGCUCGAUGAAUCUUUUCUGAACUGAACUACAGCCCUGUUGGCAUCUGUCCUGAGCUCCAGGCCUGUCUGGCCCGUGCACGGUUUGUCCCAGCCCCGGAAAAGUGCUGUGUCAGCACCUCCGGCCCCUUCUUUCUCCUGCAUUCUGGGUCUCGGGGAAUGUACCUUCUAGAGCUGCUCAGGGCAGGAUUUGGGGAUGAUCCUUUCUCUCCUAACCCCAUAUCCCUCCUGUCACCAAGCCCUGUCAGUCCUGUCUGAUGACUCUCCAAUUUUGCUCUUUCUCUCCUCCCGGGGCGGAGUACAGGCCCCACCCCCCAGAUGGCUGCAGUGGCCUCCACACUGGCCUUCCUGUCUCCAGCCUCGGUCCUAUGCCCGCUUUCUGCAGCCAGAGCAGGGGCACCCCCUGCGUAAAUCCUUUCAUGCUCCCUCUUCUAACUACUUGUCCUGCUUGUAAGGCCCUUCGCACCUGCCUCCUACUUAUUCUCUGGCACCUGUCUUAAGGAGUGCUCUCAAACUCACUGAGCACAGGCCAUGUGGGAUUAUCCCCACUCUCCCCAGCGGGACUGGAAGCUUGCUCUCAGCCGGAAGUGAGACUACCCUGGCUUCUGCUCCCCAGCUGGCUCACGGGUGCUCCCAUCAGAACUCAGCUCAAGCGUUACAGACCCUGGGAAAGGACCCCACCCCCGCCCCCUCUCCAGGGAGACCUCCCAGCCCCGCCCACUCUCCGGGGAGCCGCCCCCGCCCCGCCCGCUCUCCGAGGACACUCCCGGCCCCGCCCACUAUGCUGGGAGACGCCCCCGCCCCGCCCACUCUCCCCAGCUCCGCCCUCUCUCCAGGGAGACGCCCCAGCCCUUCCCCUCAUUAUACAGGGAGAUGCCCUCAGCCCCGCCCACUCUCCUGGGUUGACACACGUGGCUCUCCCCACUGUCACAGACCCUGGCCCCGCACUGUAUUUGUCACUUAACAAUGUCUUGUGGCACUUCUGUGCUCCAGGCCCUAGGGUAACAGGUGCCCACUCCUUGGGGCUUCUGUUUCAGUGGGUGUCAGGCUGGGGGGCGCCAGUGCUAAGCACACACUGAUUACCACGGACACCCUGCAGCUGUCCAUCAGGGUGUCAACGGAGUAGCCUGAGGAGUUAGGGACGGUUUCCCGGAGGAGGUGGUGGUCGCCUGGGAGUCCUGCGGGGGGAGGGCCUGGCAGGCAGAUGAAGAAGGUGGGGGGGGGGGGACGUUGCCAGAGUUCAAGCAGAGGAGCCCUGGGUGGUGAGGGGUUGGGCUCUCCAGGGGCUGGGAGAGCGUGUGUGGCAGGUGGGGUGGGAAGGGCACCGCACGGAAGAGAGCCAGGCCGCGGGGGGCCACCCACGAGGACUUGGCUUUUAUCCCGCAGCUCCGGGAAGCCUUUCCAGGGUCUGAAGCAGAGGAAGGGGCGGCACGGUCAGAUUUGCGUUUUCCAGCGAUUUCUGUGCUGCCCUGCGGAGGCGGGUUUGAGGGCAGGGGGGACGGCGGUGGGGCCAGUUAGGUGUGAGGGAUGUGACUUGGGGCAGAGGGGCAGGGACGGAGGGAGGGCGAUGUUGGGAGCUGUCAUGAGGCUGGGUCACCAGGACCGGGGGCACACCUGCCAUGUGAGGUGCUGGGGCUCUGGGGGGGGUGGUGUGGGGGACAGAGAGGUGGGCGCCGCAAGGAGGGACACACGUUCACCCCUGGCUCUCAGGUGUGGGGCCCGGCGAGUGACCCACUGGACAGAUGCCCUCGGGCUUGCUGACCCGCUUUGUCCGCUGAGCGGCCGUCACACAAGAGCCGCUCCUCCUCGGGUGACCACGGGAGAGCCCCGCUAUGGCCUUCCUCACCUGGCGGGCUUCCUGUCCAGCUGGUUGCCCCGGAUGCCAUCGGAGAGGCACAGGCCUCUUUGGAAAAUGACCGCUCGGCCUCUCAGUACCGCCUGGUCCCGGGUCUGGAAACAUCUGGGUCCUGCCCAGCUGGAAAGACGGGGCGUGACCCCCUGGAUCUCUGUCCUCGGCCGCGAGAAGGUGACCCACAGCUGGAAAUUCCCAUGGCAAGUGUCGGUGUUGACAAGAGUCCCUGAGAAAGUGGUGGCCAGGGGGCUGUGUGCCGAGCCCUCGAGGCCUUUCCCCUCGGGCUCUCCUUCUUCUGUCCUCUGUCCUCUGUCCUCUGCCGCGGCCUCCCUUCCCUCCACGUGUCCCCUCCGUGCGGCCGGCCCCUCGGCCUUCGAGCCGCUGGCGGGCCCUCCCAGGGCUGCUCUGUCCCCUGGCUCUGCACACCUCUCUCCUCCCUCCUCCUUGUCGCCUGCCUGGCUCUGGGUCACCCCCUUACUUGGUUCCAAAGAGCGAGCCCCAACUUGCCCAUGAGGGUGCUCAGAGGGGGCGGAGUCGGCGGGCGCGUCUUUGGACAGGCGUCUCUUCAAGGAGCCUGAGUCCGUGACGUGAAAGUGUGAAGGGCUCUUCCACUCCGGCUCCCCGCUCCUGCGUGAGCGGACACAUCUCCAGACAGGGAGCCGUCAGGUUUCCUGCAAGAAAUUAAAGACCCGGGCGCCGCGCAGCGGCGCCCAUCACCUGCGCCGCCCGCUGGCCUUCGCCAGAGGCUUUGCUUCCCGGGUGCGUGGAGGCCACAUCUUUAAUAGGAUCCCUUCCCCAGAUCUCUCUAAGGAAGGUGGACGCGUGUCUUCUAGAUAAGCGAGCUCACAGUAAGGCUGGCGGUUCUCAUUUCGGUGCGAGCCAGCGUCUCACCCCUUCUUAUCUGAGUCACAAGGACACUGGGCCGGCACCGUCCUCGACGUCUACACUGGGGAGCUGUCCUGGUGGGGGAGAAUCCUUAUGGUGAGUGCAUCUGGGCCUCCGGCUGGUCUGGUGGACGCAGUGCUGGGCUCGCUUCCUUCUUGAAUCUCUGAUUCCUUGAUUCAGUGCUCAACCCGUCAGCAUCUGCUUCAGAGGAAGACAGGCCCCAGUCUAGCCAACAUGGCCCCCACCUGCCUCGGUGGGUGAUUGGGUUAGCUCUGAGCAUGUAACCUGUUUUUGACUAGUGAGACAUGGAGGACAGUUUUCUGGGACGGUUUUCCUCUAUUAAAAGAAGAUCCAAGA